UUAAAGAGUAAGGGUGCUCAGCGCCCGACCUCCAACCCUUUGUUGUUAAAACUACCUUGUUGCUUUGGCGGGACCGCUCGGUCUCGAGCCGCUGGGGAUUCGUCCCAGGCGAGCGCCCGCCAGAGUUAAACCAAACUCUUGUUAUUAAACCGGUCGUCUGAGUUAAAAUUUUGAAUAAAUCAAAACUUUCAACAACGGAUCUCUUGGUUCUCGCAUCGAUGAAGAACGCAGCGAAAUGCGAUAAGUAAUGUGAAUUGCAGAAUUCAGUGAAUCAUCGAAUCUUUGAACGCACAUUGCGCCCCUUGGUAUUCCGAGGGGCAUGCCUGUUCGAGCGUCAUUACACCACUCAAGCUAUGCUUGGUAUUGGGUGCCGUCCUUAGUUGGGCGCGCCUUAAAGACCUCGGCGAGGCCUCACCGGCUUUAGGCGUAGUAGAAUUUAUUCGAACGUCUGUCAAAGGAGAGGACUUCUGCCGACUGAAACCUUUUAUUUUUCUAGGUUGACCUCGGAUCAGGUAGGGAUACCCGCUGAACUUAAGCAUAUCAAUAAGCGGAGGA
rnacentral:rRNA from 1 species